UCAAGCUACAAAGGGCGCAUGGUGAAUGCCUUGGCAUCAGGAGCCGAUGAAGGACGUGAUAAGCUGCGAUAAGCUUCGGGUAGGCGCACAUAGCCAGAGAUCCGGAGAUCUCCGAAUGAGGAAACUCACAUGGGAAACCCCAUGUAUCAUAAAGUGAAUUCAUAGCUUUAUGAGGGAACACCUAGGGAACUGAAACAUCUAAGUACCUAGAGGAAGAGAAAGAAAAAUCGAUUUUCUGAGUAGCGGCGAGCGAAAGGGAAAGAGCCCAAACCGAAGAUUUAUCUUCGGGGUUGCGGACAGAACAUAACGUGAAAUUAUUGUUAACCGAACACAACUGGAAAGUUGGACCAUAGGAAGUAAUAGUCUUGUAAGUAAAAGCAAUAAUGAACAGUUCUGCUCCAGAGUACCACGAGACACGUGAAACCUUGUGGGAAGCAGGGAGGACCACCUCCCAAGGCUAAAUACUACCUGAUGACCGAUAGUGAAGCAGUACCGUGAGGGAAAGGUGAAAAGAACCCCGGGAGGGGAGUGAAAUAGAACCUGAAACCAUGUGCCUACAACCGAUCAAAGCACCUUAUGUGUGUGAUGAUGUGCUUUUUGUAGAACGAGCCAACGAGUUACGGUAUGUAGCGAGGUUAAGUACUUAAGGUACGGAGCCGAAGGGAAACCAAGUCUUAAUAGGGCGACUAGUUGCAUGCUGUAGACCCGAAACCGGGUGACCUAUCCAUGGCCAGGUUGAAGCGAGGGUAAAACCUCGUGGAGGACCGAACCACGUUGCUGUUGAAAAAGCAUGGGAUGAGCUGUGGAUAGCGGAGAAAUUCCAAUCGAACUCGGAUAUAGCUGGUUCUCCUCGAAAUAGCUUUAGGGCUAGCGUCGACAAAUGUGAGUAGUGGAGGUAGAGCACUGAAUGGGCUAGGGGGCAUAGCGCUUACCGAACCUUAUCAAACUCCGAAUGCCAUAUACUAUCAGGUCGGCAGUCAGACUAUGAAAGAUAAGUUCCAUGGUCAAAAGGGAAACAGCCCAGAUCGUCAGCUAAGGUCCCAAAGUGUAAGUUAAGUGGAAAAGGAUGUGGGAUUUCUAAGACAACUAGGAUGUUGGCUUAGAAGCAGCCAUUCAUUAAAAGAGUGCGUAAUAGCUCACUAGUCAAGAGAUCCUGCGCCGAAAAUGUCCGGGGCUCAAACUUACCACCGAAGCUACGGGUUCACACUUAGUGUGAGCGGUAGAGGAGCGUUGUAAUCGGGCUGAAGUCGUACCGUAAGGAGCGGUGGACUGAUUACAAGUGAGAAUGUUGGCAUUAGUAGCGAGAUGUAGGCGAGAAUCCUACAGGCCGAAUAUCUAAGGUUUCCUGGGUAAAGUUUGUCUUCCCAGGGUUAGUCGGGACCUAAGGCGAGGCCGAAAGGCGUAGUCGAUGGACAAUUGGUUGAUAUUCCAAUACCACUAUCAUCGUUAUUACCGAGGGUGUGACGGAGAAGGAUAGGAUGUGCUAGCUAUUGGAUGCUAGUCGAAGCGUUUAGGGAGUUAGAGUAGGCAAAUCCGCUCUAACAAUUCUGAGGCGUUAUAGGGAAGGUUCUACGGAACCGAAGUAUCUGAUUCCAUGCUUCCAAGAAAAGCAUCUAGGGAGAGAAGUAGUGCCCGUACCGCAAACCGACACAGGUAGAUGAGGAGAGAAUCCUAAGGCCGACGGAAGAAUUGCAGUUAAGGAACUAGGCAAAUUGACCCCGUAACUUCGGGAGAAGGGGUGCCUACGAAAGUAGGCCGCAGAGAAUAGGCACAAGCAACUGUUUAACAAAAACACAGGUCUCUGCUAAAGCGUAAGCUGAUGUAUAGGGGCUGACGCCUGCCCGGUGCUGGAAGGUUAAGGGGAACACUUAGCGCAAGCGAAGGUGUGAACUUAAGCCCCAGUAAACGGCGGCCGUAACUAUAACGGUCCUAAGGUAGCGAAAUUCCUUGUCAGGUAAGUUCUGACCCGCACGAAUGGCGUAAUGACUUGUGCACUGUCUCAACUGCAAAUCCGGCGAAGUUGUAGUGCGAGUGAAGAUGCUCGCUACCCGCGAUUGGACGGAAAGACCCCGUAGAGCUUUACUGUAGCUUAGCAUUGAAUUUCGGUAUUGUCUGUACAGGAUAGGUGGGAGACUGGGAAAUCAGGGCGUCAGCCUUGAUGGAGUCGUUGUUGGGAUACCACCCUGAUAGUAUUGAAAUUCUAACUGGAUGCCAUGAAACUGGUGACAGGACAUUGUUAGGUGGGCAGUUUGACUGGGGCGGUCGCCUCCUAAAAUGUAACGGAGGCGCCCAAAGGUU
rnacentral:rRNA from 1 species